UGCAAUGGUAUUGAUAUUUACAACUAAUUGAUCACAAGCAGUUACAGAUUUCUUUGUUCCCUCUCCACUCCCACUCCUUCACUUGA
rnacentral:sRNA from 1 species